rnacentral:lncRNA from 1 species
AUGGUUGUCGCCUGCAGCAAGUCACGGUUAUCUGAGCUAAGUAAGAUGUUGUGAAAGAACCUAUUCAAAUUGGAAUGAUCGUGCAAUUGAAUCCUUCUAUUAUGUCAAUACUCCUUAUUCACAUCAUUAGAUCAUGGAAUCCGAUUGUCAAUAUCCUAAUGUGAAUCAUUCCUUUUAUAUAAUUAUCCUGGUAAGAUUUGAAGACUUCUUC